CUCAGGAUGAACGCUGGCGGCGUGCCUAAUACAUGCAAGUCGAACGAACUUCCGUUAAUUGAUUAAGCGGUACUUGUACCAAUUGAGAUUUUAACACGAAGUGAGUGGCGAACGGGUGAGUAACACGUGGGUAACCUGCCCAGAAGUAGGGGAUAACACCUGGAAACAGAUGCUAAUACCGUAUAAUAGAGAAAACCGCAUGGUUUUCUUUUGAAAGAUGGCUCUGCUAUCACUUCUGGAUGGACCCGCGGCGCAUUAGCUAGUUGGUAAGGUAAAGGCUUACCAAGGCAGUGAUGCGUAGCCGACCUGAGAGGGUAAUCGGCCACAUUGGGACUGAGACACGGCCCAGACUCCUACGGGAGGCAGCAGUAGGGAAUCUUCCACAAUGGACGCAAGUCUGAUGGAGCAACGCCGCGUGAGUGAAGAAGGGUUUCGGCUCGUAAAGCUCUGUUGUUAAAGAAGAACGUGGGUGAGAGUAACUGUUCACCCAGUGACGGUAUUUAACCAGAAAGCCACGGCUAACUACGUGCCAGCAGCCGCGGUAAUACGUAGGUGGCAAGCGUUAUCCGGAUUUAUUGGGCGUAAAGCGAGCGCAGGCGGUCUUUUAAGUCUAAUGUGAAAGCCUUCGGCUCAACCGAAGAAGUGCAUUGGAAACUGGGAGACUUGAGUGCAGAAGAGGACAGUGGAACUCCAUGUGUAGCGGUGAAAUGCGUAGAUAUAUGGAAGAACACCAGUGGCGAAGGCGGCUGUCUGGUCUGCAACUGACGCUGAGGCUCGAAAGCAUGGGUAGCGAACAGGAUUAGAUACCCUGGUAGUCCAUGCCGUAAACGAUGAAUGCUAAGUGUUGGAGGGUUUCCGCCCUUCAGUGCUGCAGCUAACGCAUAAGCA
rnacentral:rRNA from 1 species